CCUACGGGAGGCAGCAGUGGGGAAUAUUGGACAAUGGGCGAAAGCCUGAUCCAGCAAUGCCGCGUGAGUGAUGAAGGCCUUAGGGUUGUAAAGCUCUUUUACCAGGGAUGAUAAUGACAGUACCUGGAGAAUAAGCUCCGGCUAACUCCGUGCCAGCAGCCGCGGUAAUACGGAGGAAGCUAGCGUUGUUCGGAAUUACUGGGCGUAAAGCGUACGUAGGCGGUUAUUCAAGUCAGAGGUGAAAGCCUGGAGCUCAACUCCAGAACUGCCUUUGAAACUAGGUAGCUAGAAUCACGGAGAGGUUAGUGGAAUUCCGAGUGUAGAGGUGAAAUUCGUAGAUAUUCGGAAGAACACCAGUGGCGAAGGCGACUAACUGGACGUGUAUUGACGCUGAGGUACGAAAGCGUGGGGAGCAAACAGGAUUAGAUACCCUGGUAGUCCACGCCGUAAACGAUGAUAACUAGCUGUUCGGUCUCUACGAGACUGAGUGGCGCAGCUAACGCAUUAAGUUAUCCGCCUGGGGAGUACGGUCGCAAGAUUAAAACUCAAAGGAAUUGACGG
rnacentral:rRNA from 1 species